GUGGGGAAUCUUGCGCAAUGGGCGAAAGCCUGACGCAGCCAUGCCGCGUGAAUGAUGAAGGUCUUAGGAUUGUAAAAUUCUUUCACCGGGGACGAUAAUGACGGUACCCGGAGAAGAAGCCCCGGCUAACUUCGUGCCAGCAGCCGCGGUAAUACGAAGGGGGCUAGCGUUGCUCGGAAUUACUGGGCGUAAAGGGCGCGUAGGCGGAUCGUUAAGUCAGGGGUGAAAUCCCAGAGCGCAACUCUGGAACUGCUCUUGAUACUGGCGAUCUUGAGUGUGAGAGAGGUAUGUGGAACUCCGAGUGUAGAGGUGAAAUUCGUAGAGAUUCGGAAGAACACCAGUGGCGAAGGCGACAUACUGGCUCAUUACUGACACUGAGGCGCGAAAGCGUGGGGAGCAAACAGGAUUAGAUACCCGUGUAGUCC
rnacentral:rRNA from 1 species